UGAGAUCACGACCUGAGCCAAGAUCAAGAGUCGUGCUUAACUGACUGAGCCAUGCACGUGCCCCAAGGGUCUAGAUAUUUUCUGUCUACUCUGACAUCUCAGUAUCACCUUCACGUAAAGGCUCAUUUUCUGAGUAGCUGUGGUUUGGUCACAGCUCAGUUGAGUGUUCAUGCCUGUCUAUUCACAUCCAGCAGGAGGGAGGUCUGGUGUCCUGUGUUCUCUGACGUGGGCCACAAUGGAUGGGGAGGGAAGAGAGAAAGGUAGGUGAGAUAUGAAUGCUAUUCCUUAGCAAUAGGUACAGACCUGAUCCAAUAGCCAGGCUUUCUCUUCAAAGGGUGAGUUAAGGAUUGAGCAGGGAUAGUUGAAACCUAAUCUCACGGGGCUGGGGUCAGAGCCAGGAAUGCAGUCAUUGCAAAUUGGCGAGCCUGUGUGCUGGGAGAGGAGUUUUGUCUCUAAAGGUGCUGGGAAUAGGAAGUUUUAUAUCUCAGUUUCAGAAUCCCGAGGAUACCAAGAAUAAGUGAGGAAACCGACUUAAUGUGGAGCAGAUGGGCUAUCUCGCCAGAGCCCUUUUGAUGUUGUUGCCUUUCUCUGGAGCGGGGUUUGGAGUGGGGCUUCGGGUCCUGAUGGGGUUCAUGUGGCUUCAGCUGUGGACAUUAGGGAGCGGGCCACAGCAUGACACCAUGCAGGAAAUAUGUGCUAUAUUCUGGCCCAAAUAUUCUGAUUGAAUUAAGAGGCAAAGAAGAAAUCCAGUGAAUAGGAGAGACCGAAUCAAAUAUAACAUGCAGCAAGAUGUUAAAAUGAAACUUUAAAAACCUCAGUUUCAGCAGGGGCUCCCAAAGCCAAAACAAAGCCCAGGUGCCCCAUGUUUUGAAACGAGGGGCGCUCUGUGUGUGAGACUUGCAAAGGGAAUGGCCCCAGGUGAGUUGUGUGUUAGUGAACCACACGCCUCCAGCCUAGAAUGGAAUCAAGGUGCAAGAGGUGAGGAAAAGGAGGGUGCUUUUGUGCAGAGAGCUGUCACAGAGCUGUGGUGUUUUUCCUUCUCUGCUGGGAAGGGUGGGGUGAUGCCUUCUAUCUCAAGCCAGGUAACAGAGGGGGUGUGUUGGUUUCCUGGGAGGCUGUAACACAAUACCACAAAGUGCUUGGCUUAAAGCGAUGGAUAUUCAUUGUCUCACAGCUCUGAAGCCUUCAAGUCUGAAAUCAAGGUGUUGUUCGGGCCAGGCUCCCUCUGCAGCCUCUAAGGAAGGAUCCUUUUCUGUCUCCUCCAGCUUCUGGUGGUGCCUGACAAUCCCUGGCACUCCUUGUCUUGUGGCAGCGUUAUGCCAGUCUCUGCCUCUGUCGUCACAUCUUCUCCCUGUGUGUGUCCGUCUCUUCUUAGAAGGACACCAGUCAGAUGGGUUUCAGAGCCCACUCUACUACAGCAGGACCUUGUGUUAACUUGAUUACAUCUGCAAAGACGCUAUUUCCAGUGUUCUGUCCAGCUCCCUUCUUAACCUGGGAAUCUGCAUCCACCUGGCCCCUGUCUGUUGGCUGACUCCCAUCACAGAUUCUUGGAAGUCCUGUGUCCAAUGAGGAAAAUGCAGAAAACUGUUGGUGAAGAACUUGACAAUCUGAUGAUUGAUUACUUUGUGGACCUUGAAUGGAAACACUGCACCCCUAUUAUAUCAGGGGGAGGAAGUGAAGUGAGGAAAAACCUCUUGUCUAGAUACAAUAUUGCUUUUUGUACAACAGAGUAUGAAAUACAUGUAUUUUUGAAACUUUAAAAAAA